rnacentral:rRNA from 1 species
AACGAACGCUGGCGGCAGGCUUAACACAUGCAAGUCGAGCGCUGUAGUAAUACAGAGCGGCGCACGGGUGAGUAACACGUGGGAACGUGCCCUUUGGUUCGGAAUAACUCAGGGAAACUUGAGCUAAUACCGGAUAAGCCCUUACGGGGAAAGAUUUAUCGCCAUUGGAGCGGCCCGCGUCUGAUUAGCUAGUUGGUGGGGUAAAAGCCCACCAAGGCGACGAUCAGUAGCUGGUUUGAGAGAACGACUAGCCACACUGGGACUGAGACACGGCCCA